GCCGACAGAUGUCGCUGUUGUAACGUCACAGCCACUCCGUUUAUGAGCCAAUCAGAUCAUGACUAAGGACCCGUCGUCAUGAAGCAGCAGCCAAUGAAAGGGCAGGAGAGCGGGUCCAGGGGCGGGGCUGAGGUUGGGGUGGUAAAGCAGAAGGCUGAGAGAGAUGACCCUGCCUUCCCAUCUCCUCCCCCGUCUCCUCCCAGCCCUCUUCCUAUCUUCCUGUUUCCAUCUGAACUGGUGUUCUACUCUGAUCAGAGGAGUUCCCACAGGAGAGUCCUGACUCUCUACAACCCUUACACCACCAUCAGAUUCAAGAGUAAGAACCAUACCUACCUCUGACCUCCAACCCCUGACCUGUUGUGAACAUCUCUGUAUUCUAUGGUAGAGGCAGAGAGCAGCCUGAGAGCCAAGUCCUGCGUCGACCUUUAACCCCUGACCUCUAAGCUCUGACCUCUCUCUAUAGUGUUGUGUACAGCCCCAUCUCUGUAUUCAGUGGUGGAGGCAGAGGGUGUGGGAGAAUUAUAUACAUGAUUUGAUAACAAAAGAGAAAAUGUACAUUUAUGGGUUCAUUCCUGUUCUGGUAAAGUGCAUUUUCUAUUGAAUAGGGCAGAAAGCCGAGAAAGACCAUGGGAGUAUGGAACAGCCGGGAACACUAAAGGAAUGCAGACACAUAGACGCCUAGAAAUGACUGGACAUACAAAGAGUGGUGCGUCACCAAGAUGUGUCCCCCCGCCACUGGGGAAGGAGAGAUCGGUUCCGCCUGGAGGUGUCGGGGGGAGGGCAGGGGGCGAAACGGGAGGAGAGGCCACUGCCCAGAAUCGACCCACUAGCCCCCCGAGACUCCUCCCUCCCUCUCUCACUCACUCCUCUACCUUACUUCACAUUGCCCCAGAAAGUUCGGAGACUGUCCCAGUUUGCAGUGUCGGUGGUGAUGGGUGUGGUCUGCUCACCAUGGUGUUUCUACGGUAACCAGAAGAGGAGAUGAUGUUUCCAUGGAGAUUCAGACCAAGAUCCCCCCCCCCUGUUCAUUCCCCAGACCAAUCUGAUGUGUUCUAGGGGCCAACAGUGCUGAUAUGUCCAACAGGGCUGAUAUGGUCUAGGGACCAACAGGGCUGAUAUGUCCAACAGGGCUGAUAUGGUCUAGGGACCAACAGGGCUGAUAUGUUCUAGGGACCACGGCUGAAUAGUUCUAGUGACCAUGGCUGAUAUUUGAGGGACAGCAGGCUGAAUAAAUGUC
rnacentral:lncRNA from 1 species